GCGUAUAUUAAAGUUGUUGCGGUUAAAAAGCUCGUAGUUGGAUUUCUGUUGAGGGUGGUCGGUCCGCAUUAUGUGCGUGUAUCUGGUUCAGCCUUGGCAUCCUCCAGGGGAACGUUCCUGCGCUUCAUUGCGUGGGGCGGUAUUCUGGACUUUUACUUUGAGGAAAUUAGAGUGUUCACGGCAGGCAGUCGCCUUGAAUAUAUUAGCAUGGAAUAAUAAUAUAGGACCUUGGUUCUAUUUUGUUGGUUUCUAGAACUUAGGUAAUGAUUAAUAGGGACAAUUGGGGGCAUUUGUAUUAACACGUCAGAGGUGGAAUUCUUGGAUUGUGUUACGACAAACUACUGCGAAAGCAUUUGCCAAGGAUGUUUUCAUUGAUCAAGAACGAAAGUAAGGGGAUCGAAGACGAUUAGAUACCGUCGUAGUCUUUACCAUAAACUAUGCCAAUUAGAGAUUGGAGGUCGUUCUUUUUAUGACUCCUUCAGCACCUUAUGAGAAAUCAAAAUUUUUGGGUUCCGGGGGGAGUAUGGUCGCAAGGCUGAAACUUAAA
rnacentral:rRNA from 1 species